UGCGCAGGCGGGGAUGUAAGUCAGUGGUGAAAUACUGCCGCUCAACGGUAGAACUGCCAUUGAUACUGCAUCUCUUGAGUAUGGUUGAGGUAGGCGGAAUGUGUUGUGUAGCGGUGAAAUGCAUAGAUAUGACACAGAACACCGAUUGCGAAGGCAGCUUACUAAGCCAUUACUGACGCUGAGGCACGAAAGCGUGGGGAGCGAACAGGAUUAGAUACCCUGGUAGUCC
rnacentral:rRNA from 1 species